rnacentral:rRNA from 1 species
AGAGUUUGAUCAUGGCUCAGAACGAACGCUGGCGGCGUGGAUAAGACAUGCAAGUCGGACGGGACUUUCUGUGGUAGCAAUACGACGGAAAGUUCAGUGGCGAUCGGGUGCGUAACACGUGGGCAAUUUGCCUUAAAGUGUGGAAUAGCUCGGCGAAAGCCGAAUUAAUACCGCAUGUGGCUACUGGAGACAUCUUCGGGACGCUAAAGGUGGCGCAAGCUACCGCUUUUUUGAGGAGCCCGCGGCCUAUCAGCUUGUUGGUGAGGUAACGGCUCACCAAGGCGUUGACGGGUAGCUGGUCUGAGAGGACGACCAGCCACACUGGGACUGAGACACGGCCCAGACACCUACGGGUGGCAGCAGUCGAGAAUUUUUGACAAUGGGGGAAACCCUGAUCGAGCGACGCCGCGUGGAGGAUGAAGGUCUUCGGGUUGUAAACUCCUGUCAUUUGGGAACAAGGCGCGUGUAUCAACUGUACGUGCGUUGAUAGUACCAGAAGAGGAAGAGACGGCUAACUCUGUGCCAGCAGCCGCGGUAAUACAGAGGUCUCAAGCGUUGUUCGGAUUCAUUGGGCGUAAAGGGUGUGUAGGUGGCGCGCUAAGUCGGGUGUGAAAUUUCGGAGCUUAACUCCGAAACUGCAUUCGAUACUGGCGUGCUUGAGGACUGGAGAGGAGACUGGAAUUUACGGUGUAGCAGUGAAAUGCGUAGAUAUCGUAAGGAAGACCAGUGGCGAAGGCGGGUCUCUGGACAGUUCCUGACACUGAGACACGAAGGCCAGGGGAGCAAACGGGAUUAGAUACCCCAGUAGUCC